rnacentral:rRNA from 1 species
UACGUAGGGCUCAAGCGUUAUCCGGAAUUAUUGGGCGUAAAGAGCUCGUAGGCGGUUUGUCGCGUCUGCUGUGAAAUCCCGAGGCUCAACCUCGGGUCUGCAGUGGGUACGGGCAGACUAGAGUGCGGUAGGGGAGAUUGGAAUUCCUGGUGUAGCGGUGGAAUGCGCAGAUAUCAGGAGGAACACCGAUGGCGAAGGCAGAUCUCUGGGCCGUAACUGACGCUGAGGAGCGAAAGGGUGGGGAGCAAACAGG